UCCCUGGUGGUCCAGUGGCUAAGACUCUGAGCUUCCAAUGCAGGGGGCCAGGGUUCAGUCCCUGGUCAGGGAA
rfam:TPA: Bos taurus chromosome 6, whole genome shotgun sequence.